rnacentral:rRNA from 1 species
AGAGUUUGAUCCUGGCUCAGGAUGAACGCUAGCUACAGGCUUAACACAUGCAAGUCGAGGGGAAACGACAUCGAAAGCUUGCUUUUGAUGGGCGUCGACCGGCGCACGGGUGAGUAACGCGUAUCCAACCUGCCCACCACUUGGGGAUAACCUUGCGAAAGUAAGACUAAUACCCAAUGAUAUCUCUAGAAGACAUCUGAAAGAGAUUAAAGAUUUAUCGGUGAUGGAUGGGGAUGCGUCUGAUUAGCUUGUUGGCGGGGUAACGGCCCACCAAGGCUACGAUCAGUAGGGGUUCUGAGAGGAAGGUCCCCCACAUUGGAACUGAGACACGGUCCAAACUCCUACGGGAGGCAGCAGUGAGGAAUAUUGGUCAAUGGACGAGAGUCUGAACCAGCCAAGUAGCGUGCAGGAUGACGGCCCUAUGGGUUGUAAACUGCUUUUAUAAGGGAAUAAAGUGAGUCUCGUGAGGCUUUUUGCAUGUACCUUAUGAAUAAGGACCGGCUAAUUCCGUGCCAGCAGCCGCGGUAAUACGGAAGGUCCGGGCGUUAUCCGGAUUUAUUGGGUUUAAAGGGAGCGUAGGCCGGAGAUUAAGCGUGUUGUGAAAUGUAGACGCUCAACGUCUGCACUGCAGCGCGAACUGGUUUCCUUGAGUACGCACAAAGUGGGCGGAAUUCGUGGUGUAGCGGUGAAAUGCUUAGAUAUCACGAAGAACUCCGAUUGCGAAGGCAGCUCACUGGAGCGCAACUGACGCUGAAGCUCGAAAGUGCGGGUAUCGAACAGGAUUAGAUACCCUGGUAGUCCGCACGGUAAACGAUGGAUGCCCGCUGUUGGUCUGAAUAGGUCAGCGGCCAAGCGAAAGCAUUAAGCAUCCCACCUGGGGAGUACGCCGGCAACGGUGAAACUCAAAGGAAUUGACGGAA